GACGAACGCUGGCGGCGUGCCUAAUACAUGCAAGUUGAGCGCUGAAGGUUGGUACUUGUACCAACUGGAUGAGCAGCGAACGGGUGAGUAACGCGUGGGUAAUCUGCCUUUUAGCGGGGGACAACAUUUGGAAACGAAUGCUAAUACCGCAUAAAAACGUUAAACACAAGUUUUAAGUUUGAAAGAUGCAAUUGCAUCACUCAAAGAUGAUCCCGCGUUGUAUUAGCUAGUUGGUGAGGUAAAGGCUCACCAAGGCGAUGAUACAUAGCCGACCUGAGAGGGUGAUCGGCCACAUUGGGACUGAGACACGGCCCAAACUCCUACGGGAGGCAGCAGUAGGGAAUCUUCGGCAAUGGACGAAAGUCUGACCGAGCAACGCCGCGUGAGUGAAGAAGGUUUUCGGAUCGUAAAACUCUGUUGGUAGAGAAGAACGUUGGUGAGAGUGGAAAGCUCAUCAAGUGACGGUAACUACCCAGAAAGGGACGGCUAACUACGUG
rnacentral:rRNA from 1 species